rnacentral:rRNA from 1 species
UACGAAGGGGGCGAGCGUUGUUCGGAUUUACUGGGCGUAAAGGGCGCGCAGGCGGCUUUGUUUGUCAGGCGUGAAAGCCCCGGGCUUAACCUGGGAACUGCGUUUGAUACGGCAGGGCUAGAGUUCGGGAGAGGAGCGUGGAAUUCCCAGUGUAGAGGUGAAAUGCGUAGAUAUUGGGAAGAACACCAGUGGCGAAGGCGGCCUUCUGGGUCGACCCUGACCGCUGAGAG